rnacentral:rRNA from 1 species
UACGUAGGGGGCAAGCGUUGUCCGGAAUCAUUGGGCGUAAAGCGCGUGUAGGCGGUUCGAUAAGUCUGCUGUGAAAGUCCAGGGCUCAACCCUGGGAUGCCGGUGGAUACUGUCGGACUAGAGUGCGGAAGAGGCGAGUGGAAUUCCCGGUGUAGCGGUGAAAUGCGCAGAUAUCGGGAGGAACACCAAUUGCGAAGGCAGCUCGCUGGGACGUUACUGACGCUGAGACGCGAAAGCGUGGGGAGCAAACAGG